rnacentral:lncRNA from 1 species
AAAUGACCCCAGGUAGUGGCUUUGGAGCUAGGAAAGUUACGAGGCAAGAUAAGCCAUGCCUUUUGAGCUGAUUUUUUAAGGGAAUCACCAGACAGAUCAAUCAAGGGCAAAUAUUUCCAAGUAACAUUCAUGAUACUCCCUCUGGUACUGGUAUUAGGAUGGAGGCUUCCAUUUCCAAGGCUAACACUGAGCUGGAGAGCUAGAGAUGGCACUAAGGCAGGUUAAAAUGCCACAAAGUGUGGGGAGGUAGCUCAGUAGUAGAGUGUUGGCCUAGCACCUGUUCUUGGGUUUGAUACCAGCAAUACACACAAAGAGUUUCUGUGUUUGGGCUGGGCAAAGACUUCUAUAGGGUAAGAAUUAAAACCAAGAAUCAAUAAAUGGGAUGGAAUCAAACUAAAAAGUUUCUUCUCAGCAAAAGAAACAAUCUGUGAGGUAAGCAGAGAGCCCACAUCCUGGGAGCAAAUUCUUACCCCUCACACAUCAGAUACAGCACUAAUCUCUAGGGUAUAUAAAGAACUCAAAAAGCUAAACACCAAAAUAAUAAUAAUAAUAAUAACAACAACAAUAACAACCAAAUCAACAAAUGGGCCAAGGACAUGAACAGACACUUUUCAGAAGAGGAUAUACAAUUAAUCAAUAAAUAUAUGAAACAAUGUUAAUCAUCUCUAGCAAUUAGAGAAAUGCAAAUCAAAACUACUCUAAUAUAUCAUCUCACUUCUGUCAGAAUGGCAGCUAUUAUGAAGACAAACAACAAUAAGUGUUGGAGAGAAUGUGGGGGAAAAGGGACCCUGAUACAUUGCUGGUGGGACUGCAAAUUGGUGCAGCCAAUUAGAAAGCAAUAUGGAGAUUCCUUGGAAAUCUGAAAAUGGACCCACCAUUUGACCCAGCUAUCCCUCUCCUCGGUCUGUACCCAAAAGACUUAAAAACAGCAUACUACAGGGACACAGCCACAUCAAUGUUUAUAGUAGCACAAUUCACAAUAGCUAAACUGUGGAACCAAUCUACAUGCCCCUCAGUGGGUGAAUAGAUUAAAAAAAUGUGGCAUAUAUACACAAUGGAAUUUUACUCAGCAAUAAAAGAAUAAAAUCAUAGCAUUUACAGGUAAAUGGAUGGCAUUGGAGAAGAUAAUGCUAAGUGAAGUUAGCCAAUCCCAAAAAAACAAAUGCCGAAUGUUUUCUCUGAUAUAAGGAGGCUGAC